UCUUCCAGAGCUACAAUCCUCCUGUCCAGCUCCUCACUUCGAUGUUGAAGCUCCAACACCAGAUCGUACAUCAUGUUCUGGGUCUGCAAAGCAACAGGGAGGACAGUUCAUUCACACAUUUUACAGUACGAGUCAUCAUCAGGCUGAGUAUCCAACAUGAAGUUAUGAACGUGCUUUUCGGCUCUGGUGAGUUCGGACUUCCUUGCAACAACAGCGACCACUAAAGCUGUGCAGCCGGCUCCCUGUGGAGAAGAGCAGUGGCAAACUCCCUUCCCACAGUAGGUGUGAGGGACCAUGUCACCGUACCCGAUGGACAGGAAGGUGAUGGAGACCAGCCACAUUGCUCCG